rnacentral:rRNA from 1 species
AUUGAACGCUGGCGGCAUGCCUUACACAUGCAAGUCGAACGGCAGCACGGGAGCAAUCCUGGUGGCGAGUGGCGAACGGGUGAGUAAUGUAUCGGAACGUGCCCAGUCGUGGGGGAUGACGUAGCGAAAGCUACGCUAAUACCGCAUACGAUCUAUGGAUGAAAGCGGGGGAUCGCAAGACCUCGCGCGAUUGGAGCGGCCGAUAUCAGAUUAGGUAGUUGGUGGGGUAAAGGCCCACGAAGCCGACGAUCUGUAGCUGGUCUGAGAGGACGACCAGCCACACUGGGACUGAGACACGGCCCAGACUCCUACGGGAGGCAGCAGUGGCGAAUUGUGGACAAUGGGCGCGAGCCUGAUUCAGCAAUGCCGCGUGCAGGAGGAAGGCCUUCGGGUUGUAAACUGCUUUUGUACGGAACGAAACGGCGAGCUCUAAUACAGUUUGCUAAUGACGGUACCGUAAGAAUAAGCACCGGCUAACUACGUGCCAGCCGCCGCCGUAA